UAAACGUGAACACAAAUGAGCGCAAGCCGGCCAAUCGAUUCGCCAGAAGGAGAAAGAAGGCGCUUCCCCUGCUCUCCAUUCAUUCCCUGCACAGUCUGGCUCCCCUCGCCCUGCCGCCAUCCAGGAUCCCCCGGGCUCCACAUGGGCAAGUGCGCCAAGACCCGCUACCAGACACAACGCCCGCUUCCACUCCAUUGGAGCACACAGCCCCACGGACUAGCACGCUAUCAACAUCCUCAGCGUCGCUCCUCGCGUCCGGGCCCCUGCCUUCUCGGCUUCCACCAUCACCACCCGCCACCGCCGCCCCCACGGCUUAGCUCAGAGCUGCCUCGUUCUGCUCUCUGCUCCCCAGCUGGCGGGAGACACAGCUGAGACUCCCUAGUCAGGCCGCUUCGGGGACUAGGGUACAGCGACGAUGGGAAAAGCGGCGAGUAAAAAAAGUUGAGACUGAUCCCUCGGUUCCUCCCAGGCCUGUCCCCACGGUGUCUCCUCGGGAAUCUUGCUCCCACAGACGCUGACGCCUGGGGCUGUUCCCCGAGACCCACACGAGCCUUCCCACCCAGAGCGGCAGUGCGGCUAGAGCCCGGAUUCCCGAGGCGGCUCCGAUUGGUACCCAGAGACAGUGGCAGAUGCCCACGUACCUGCCCCAGGCUACGCCUGGAAACUUCCCCUAAAGUGUGCGGGGGAGGGGCAGUGAACACGACUAGGGGAAUCCCGGUCCCCAGCUCUGCCUGUGGAGAGCUCGCUCCAGAAAAUCGCCGAUCUGUCUAUUCAUUGGCCUUAUAUCAGUCGUCCUUCCCUCUCAGUUCCUGGCCGACCCAGGGUCGCGCGAAUUCUGACUCCUUGGGGCGGUUCUGCGGGACAGCUAGCCGGUGCGUGCCCCGCGGCGUGCGUCCUCCGCCGGCCUCCAGCUGUCCACAGCGCCACCACGCCAGCACCCGGUCCUCUGUCUUGGAGCUCGGACCACAUUCGCUCUGUCUAGGGAGGGGGCGUGUGAGCCCCGGCUCCGCCACCGGUAGUCCUUCCCGCAGGGUCCCCAGGCGUGCUGGGCACCUAGAGCACGGCCAGGACCGCGCAGCGAAAAGGACGCCUCCUACAGGGGACCGUGCCUGUAGCGAGGAGGCCUGACCGAGGGGUGCGGGCCCAAACCUGCCGGAGCUCGGCGCGCUCCAAGUUCAUUGUCUGCCUGGGCCGCCGCCGCCUCCGCGUCCGGAGCCUCCGCGCAGGGAGUGAAGCUGCACACAGCCCUGGCGGUCCGGACUCCCAGCGCCCAUUCCCCGCCAACCUGGGCGAACCCGCAGAGGGGCACCGGGACCCAGAGCCAAACCUCCGCCCGCCGCUACUCGCCACCCCCUGCCCAGUCACCCAGAGCCCAACUUGUACCUGAAAAGCCCAAGACGAUCUCGGAAGCCUCUGCAGCUCCGACUCCGCGGGAGCGCGCGCCCAGCCCCGCGCCUAGCACCCCGCACCCAGGGCGCGUCAACCUGACUCCCCGAGCGCUGGGAGGAAAAGUUUGGGAGUGACUUGCAGAUGGCGAAUGAAACCUCUGAACAGAACCCUCCCCCCGCCCCAUGUCGCGCUGACACACAUCAGCUCGAGUCUGGAAUGCAAGAUCAAGGCGUGCGCGCCCUGCUGAGCGGUGGGUUUGGUCCCCGCCCCCUCGCCCAGCAAGUAAAUACAGUUUGUGUAUUGCGGUGACUCCGACAAGACAAAACCGAAACCUGGUGUGUGUGGCAGUGACCCGGCUACCAGAAACAGUUUUAAGGAACUUGGCAGUCUAGAGACAGCCCAUACAUUGAUAUUCAAGGCCACUGACGCGAGUGGUUUCGGCGCCCUCUGUUGUAUUUUUGCAUUCUACAAAGGCUGCCUAGCUCUUGGGCCCUGUAGGUUUGCUUCUUCUGAGAGGUAAGGUUCUACAGGACCCCGAGUACCACUGCCGCAGUGGCCUACUGGGACUGCUUCAAGGAAAGGCUCCAGUGAUCGGCUGUGGGCUGAAGAUGAAAUCAGUUAACAUAAAAUAUGACACCUUAAACUCUUAAGACUUGUUCGGGACAGCCUUUGGAGCACCAAACCCCAGACUCUGGGGAAUAGGAUAGAAGCCACAGUCUUGGGUCUGCCCACGUUCCUAUGGCCAGAGUCCAGCAUCUUCUUUCUUGAAGCAACCGGGAAAAUGCUCCCUAACUGUAAAAUGCUGGCAUAUGUGCUAAAGGUGAUUCUAGAGAACGGGAGCCCCUUUCAGUCUUGUUUGAGGUUCCCACCUCACCCCCCAAAGUCCUAGAGUUCUGGUUCAGCAUCCACGGCGACUGAGUCAGAGGUCACAAUCAGAGGGUCACGACUGCAGAUAGGAACCCUGGAUGACAGGGGAGUUCUUAAAAACCACUGUCUAGCUUCCCAACAAAUACUGCCUCUUAUAUAAAAAUCUGCAAAGAAAGAUUAAUGAAGCAGUGAGACUGCCCUCCCAGUCGGUAGACUGGAUUGCUUUUCCCCCCAUGUAGACUUGGCUUAGUGAUUUGGAGGUCUUUAUUAUUUUUUUUAAACAAAAACCUUUUUUUUUCUAAAAAUACAAUGAGCUGGUUUUUGCAGAGUUCACAAUUCCCAAUAGAUAAUGAUGCCAUUUUUCAUGGUCUU